rnacentral:lncRNA from 14 species
CACGUUUCAAAAGAAGAGUUGGUGCCAAUGCUGGCAAAGAGAAAGCUCUGACAAAGGUAGGAGGAGAUACCCAGCUAAGAGGAGGAUUACUACAUGACUUCAAGCCACACAGAAUCCUAGCCUGGCAGCCAGUCCUCUGGAUGAAGAAGUUGCUUUUGAACAUCUGGGCAUUCCCCUGCUUCUUCUGCAGCUGGUAUCUCAAAUAAAUGUUAAAAACAGAUUGUUACGGGCACAGAACCAACAAGGAAAAGUGACAUCAUCCAUAGAAAAGGUCUUACAGGAAAAACAAACAAACAAACAAAACCCCACAAAACAAACCACCUUUUAAGGAGGAACCUGAACUAGAGCAAGAAAUCAUGUGG